rnacentral:rRNA from 1 species
UACGAGGGGGGCGAGCGUUGUUCGGAAUUAUUGGGCGUAAAGGGCGCGUAGGCGGUUGGAUAAGGCUUGUGUGAAAUCUUCGGGCUCAACUCGAAGUCUGCACGAGAAACUAUCUGGCUUGAGUGUGGGAGAGGUGAGUGGAAUUCCUGGUGUAGCGGUGAAAUGCGUAGAUAUCAGGAGGAACACCUGUGGCGAAAGCGGCUCACUGGACCACAACUGACGCUGAGGCGCGAAAGCUAGGGGAGCAAACAGG